AUGGAGGUCUUGGUGGACUUUAUGUGGCGCAAACGACAACUGAUUCGGUAGCUGCACUGGCCAAUACGGGUGCUGGCAUAACAGGAGUGGUACUGCAAAAUAAGGCAGACAAAAAUGAUAAUAAGGUUGCCACCGAAGGUGAACAGGUCGGAGAGGAAAAUAACGAAAGUGAACAGUGAACCGCAAAAAA